rnacentral:rRNA from 1 species
AGAGUUUGAUCCUGGCUCAGGAUGAACGCUGACAGAAUGCUUAACACAUGCAAGUCUACUUGAACUUCGGUUUGGGUGGCGGACGGGUGAGUAACGCGUAAAGAACUUGCCUCACAGUUAGGGACAACAUUUGGAAACGAAUGCUAAUACCUGAUAUUAUGAUUUUAGGGCAUCCUAAGAUUAUGAAAGCUAUAUGCGCUGUGAGAGAGCUUUGCGUCCCAUUAGCUAGUUGGAGAGGUAACGGCUCACCAAGGCGAUGAUGGGUAGCCGGCCUGAGAGGGUGAUCGGCCACAAGGGGACUGAGACACGGCCCUUACUCCUACGGGAGGCAGCAGUGGGGAAUAUUGGACAAUGGACCGAGAGUCUGAUCCAGCAAUUCUGUGUGCACGAUGACGUUUUUCGGAAUGUAAAGUGCUUUCAGUUGGGAAGAAAAAAAUGACGGUACCAACAGAAGAAGUGACGGCUAAAUACGUGCCAGCAGCCGCGGUAAUACGUAUGUCACAAGCGUUAUCCGGAUUUAUUGGGCGUAAAGCGCGUCUAGGUGGUUAUGUAAGUCUGAUGUGAAAAUGCAGGGCUCAACUCUGUAUUGCGUUGGAAACUGUAUAACUAGAGUACUGGAGAGGUAAGCGGAACUACAAGUGUAGAGGUGAAAUUCGUAGAUAUUUGUAGGAAUGCCGAUGGGGAAGCCAGCUUACUGGACAGAUACUGACGCUGAAGCGCGAAAGCGUGGGUAGCAAACAGGAUUAGAUACCCUGGUAGUCCACGCCGUAAACGAUGAGUGCUAAGUGUUGGUCUCAUAAGAGAUCAGUGCUGCAGCUAACGCAUUAAGCACUCCGCCUGGGGAGUACGACCGCAAGGUUGAAACUCAAAGGAAUUGACGGGGACCCGCACAAGCGGUGGAGCAUGUGGUUUAAUU